AUCAAGGUUGGUCAUUAGUUCGUAUUUUUCCCAUUUUUCCUUCUCCUCGAAGUUCUAAACAUAGAAAAAUUAAAAUAGCGCUAGUGGAAAAACGGUUGCAGCAGCAGCAGGAAAUUGUGGAUUGUCUAUCGGGACUGGAAGCGACAGCGGAAUAUUAUCUAUGCAGGAAGCAAUAGAUUAUUUUCAUUUAUCACCACUUAAUUAUUGAACCCGUGCAAGCUCAGUGCAAUGUUGAAGCGGCACUUCAACCGGCAGCAUUCGGAUUGAUUGCAUAUGCGGCACAUCGUGGGCUUCAAUUAAUAAUAUCGACGACGAUCAAAGUUUGUACGGUCAACCGGACCAACAGGAUGAUCUCAAUCUGGAUGAUGACAUGGAGGAAGAAGCCGCACAAGAAGAAUCAUUGGUUUUACACGAGGACAAACGCUACUAUCUGGAGGUAUACAGAGAAUAAAUUGAAACCAUCGUGCAAGAGAAUGAUAAACUGGAUAAACCUUUAAUUGAACCGUAAACCACGUACGACGGAGUAAAUCCAGUAGUUUUCGCACGACGACUAUAUAGCUGAUAUGUACUUCGACAGUAAAUUGCGAAAGUUUACCAAAGCCGUCGAAUAGGACGGCUAAUCGCAGUUUUCUGGAAUCUUUGUAUAAGCUUUUUGUAAAGGUUGUUGGCGUCGUUGAUACUUCUCUUGUUUACCUUGUUGACACACUGGCCGAGUUCAAUAUCCGUGUUGCCAAGGAGGAAAACUGUAAUCGAUUUGUUGAGGACUUUGGCGGAUUUGUUGAUAUCUGCGUGGAACACAUUCAAUCACCACUGGACAAUGCCCAGGCGAAGAUCAAUCAUAUCUAUACCGGGGUCAGAGAAAGUGACAUCUACCAGGAUACAGUGGUCCUCGGUCGCGUUAUGAUUUAUGAGGAAUAUUGCAUCCUAGUCAAGAAGUGCGAGUUUCGGGCGGAAACUAUUCGUUACGGGCGUCAAAUGAACGGGGAUGUGUUUAUUCUCAGGUCGCUGAAAUUCAACAUUCAGAGUAUCAUCACAAUUGCGAUAGAAUCGGUCAAUCCUUCUUCUUCUUAUUGGCAUUACAUCCCUACACAGGGAUAGAGCCGCCUCGCAGCUUAGUGUUCAUUAAGCACUUCCACAGUUAUUAACUGCGAGGUUUCUAAGCCAGGUUACCAUUUUUGCAUUCGUAUAUCAUGAGGCUAGCACGAUAAUACUUUUAUGCCCAGGGAAGUCGAGACAAUUUCCAAUCCGAAAAUUGCCUAGACCGGC